CGUUCAUUAGUCAAGUGGUUAAGACAAUAGGCUCAUAACCUUUCUCCCUGGGUUCAAAUCCCAGAUGAACUC
rnacentral:tRNA from 1 species